CAGCAGUGGGGAAUCUUCCACAAUGGGCGAAAGCGUGAUGGAGCAACGCCGCCUGAGUGAAGAAGGCCUUCGGGUCGUAAAGCUCUGUCCUUGGGGAAGAACCGUAGUGAUAGCAAAUGAUCUCCACCUGACGGUACCCAUGGAGGAAGCACCGUCUAAUUACUUGCCAGCAGCCGCGGUAAUACUUAGAGUGCAACCGUUGUCCGGAAUCAUUGGGCGUAAAGGGUACGCAGGCGGAUAAUCAAUUCUAAUGUGAAAACUACCGGCUUAACUGCUAGAAUGCGUUUGAAACUGUUUAUCUUGAGUGCAGCAGAGGAGAGCGGAAUUCCUAGUGUAGUGGUGGAAUACGUAGAUAUUAGAAAGAACACCACUGGCGAAGGCGGCUCUCUGGGCUGACACUGACGCUGAGGUACGAAAGCAUGGGGGAGCAGACCGGCAUUAGAUACCCCGGUAGUCCCACCCGUAAACGAUGGACAUCAGGUGUUGGGGGUUCGACUCCCUCAGUGCCGAGCUAACGCAUUAGUAUCCCUGGACUAGACGG
rnacentral:rRNA from 1 species